rnacentral:rRNA from 1 species
UACGAAGGGGGCUAGCGUUGCUCGGAAUCACUGGGCGUAAAGCGCACGUAGGCGGAUUGUUAAGUCAGGGGUGAAAUCCUGGAGCUCAACUCCAGAACUGCCUUUGAUACUGGCGAUCUUGAGUCCGGGAGAGGUGAGUGGAACUGCGAGUGUAGAGGUGAAAUUCGUAGAUAUUCGCAAGAACACCAGUGGCGAAGGCGGCGCACUGGCCCGGUACUGACGCUGAGGUGCGAAAGCGUGGGGAGCAAACAGG